CGAAGGGGGCUAGCGUUGCUCGGAAUUACUGGGCGUAAAGGGCGCGUAGGCGGAUAGUUUAGUCAGAGGUGAAAGCCCAGGGCUCAACCUUGGAAUUGCCUUUGAUACUGGCUAUCUUGAGUUCGGGAGAGGUGAGUGGAAUGCCGAGUGUAGAGGUGAAAUUCGUAGAUAUUCGGCGGAACACCAGUGGCGAAGGCGACUCACUGGCCCGAUACUGACGCUGAGGCGCGAAAGCGUGGGGAGCAAACAGGAUUAGAUACCCUGGUAGUCCACGCUGUAAACGAUGAGUGCUAGUUGUCGGCAUGCAUGCAUGUCGGUGACGCAGCUAACGCAUUAAGCACUCCGCCUGGGGAGUACGGUCGCAAGAUUA
rnacentral:rRNA from 1 species